GUCCCUGUAGCGCAAUGUGGUUAACGAAUUGGUACUUCUAAUCCAAAGGUCGUGGGUUCCAAUCCCACUUGGGAUG